rnacentral:rRNA from 1 species
AGAGUUUGAUCCUGGCUCAGGACGAACGCUGGCGGCGUGCCUAAUACAUGCAAGUAGAACGCUGAAGAGAGGAGCUUGCUCUUCUUGGAUGAGUUGCGAACGGGUGAGUAACGCGUAGGUAACCUGCCUUGUAGCGGGGGAUAACUAUUGGAAACGAUAGCUAAUACCGCAUAACAAUGGAUGACACAUGUCAUUUAUUUGAAAGGGGCAAUUGUUCCACUACAAGAUGGACCUGCGUUGUAUUAGCUAGUAGGUGAGGUAAUGGCUCACCUAGGCGACGAUACAUAGCCGACCUGAGAGGGUGAUCGGCCACACUGGGACUGAGACACGGCCCAGACUCCUACGGGAGGCAGCAGUAGGGAAUCUUCGGCAAUGGGGGCAACCCUGACCGAGCAACGCCGCGUGAGUGAAGAAGGUUUUCGGAUCGUAAAGCUCUGUUGUAAGUCAAGAACGGGUGUGAGAGUGGAAAGUUCACACUGUGACGGUAGCUUACCAGAAAGGGACGGCUAACUACGUGCCAGCAGCCGCGGUAAUACGUAGGUCCCGAGCGUUGUCCGGAUUUAUUGGGCGUAAAGCGAGCGCAGGCGGUUUGAUAAGUCUGAAGUUAAAGGCUGUGGCUCAACCAUAGUUCGCUUUGGAAACUGUCAAACUUGAGUGCAGAAGGGGAGAGUGGAAUUCCAUGUGUAGCGGUGAAAUGCGUAGAUAUAUGGAGGAACACCGGUGGCGAAAGCGGCUCUCUGGUCUGUAACUGACGCUGAGGCUCGAAAGCGUGGGGAGCGAACAGGACUAGAUACCCUGGUAGUCCACGCCGUAAACGAUGAGUGCUAGGUGUUGGAUCCUUUCCGGGAUUCAGUGCCGCAGCUAACGCAUUAAGCACUCCGCCUGGGGAGUACGACCGCAAGGUUGAAACUCAAAGGAAUUGACGGGGGCCCGCACAAGCGGUGGAGCAUGUGGUUUAAUUCGAAGCAACGCGAAGAACCUUACCAGGUCUUGACAUCCCGAUGCUAUUUCUAGAGAUAGAAAGUUACUUCGGUACAUCGGUGACAGGUGGUGCAUGGUUGUCGUCAGCUCGUGUCGUGAGAUGUUGGGUUAAGUCCCGCAACGAGCGCAACCCCUAUUGUUAGUUGCCAUCAUUCAGUUGGGCACUCUAGCGAGACUGCCGGUAAUAAACCGGAGGAAGGUGGGGAUGACGUCAAAUCAUCAUGCCCCUUAUGACCUGGGCUACACACGUGCUACAAUGGUUGGUACAACGAGUUGCGAGUCGGUGACGGCGAGCUAAUCUCUUAAAGCCAAUCUCAGUUCGGAUUGUAGGCUGCAACUCGCCUACAUGAAGUCGGAAUCGCUAGUAAUCGCGGAUCAGCACGCCGCGGUGAAUACGUUCCCGGGCCUUGUACACACCGCCCGUCACACCACGAGAGUUUGUAACACCCGAAGUCGGUGAGGUAACCUUUUGGAGCCAGCCGCCUAAGGUGGGACAGAUGAUUGGGGUGAAGUCGUAACAAGGUA